rnacentral:rRNA from 1 species
AAUGAUCUUUUGCAGGUAGAGCACUGAAUUCUUGAGGGGGCGUCAAAGUCUACCAAGAGAUAUCAAACUCCGAAUGGCGGUAAGAUAUAAGCGGGAGUCAGACUGCGGGAUAUAAAUUCCGUAGUCAAAAGGGAAACAGCCCAGAUCUACAGCUAAGGUCCCAAAGUACAUGUUAAGUGGUAAAGGAUGUGGGAUUUCAUAGACAACUAGGAUGUUGGCUUAGAAGCAGCCACACAUUCAAAGAGUGCGUAAUAGCUCACUAGUCGAGAGGUCCUGCGCCGAAAAUUAACGGGGCUAAAACAUGACACCGAAGCUUAGGGAUGGUGUAAACCAUCGGUAGAGGAGCAUUGAAAACACGUAGAAGCGGUACCGUAAGGAUCCGUGGAGAGUUUUGAAGAGAGAAUGCCGGAAUGAGUAGCGAGAUGGAGGUGAGAAUCCUCCAGGCCGAAUAUCUAAGGUUUCCAGGGUAAAGCUGAUCUGCCCUGGGUAAGUCGGGGCCUAAGGCGAGGCUGAGAAGCGUAGUCGAUGGACAACUGGUGUAGAUUCCAGUACCUUACUAAAUCAGAAAUGUGGGGACACAUGGAGAAAGAGAGAGCCGGGAAUGAGAAGACCGGUGCAAGGGAGGUAGGAGUGUAGUAGGAAAAACCGCUACACAAUCUGAAGACCUGAUGCGGAUCGAAAAGAAGUAGAGAAGCUCUUAGACUCUGUGGCGAGAAAAGCCGCUAUUGUGUUUAGUAAGCCCGUACCGCAAACCGACACAGGUAGAUGAGGAGAGAAUCCUAAGGCCGGCGGGAGAAGCAUUGUUAAGGAACUCGGCAAAAUGACCCCGUAACUUCGGGAGAAGGGGUGCCCAGGCAACUGGGCCGCAGAGAAAAGGCUCAAGCAACUGUUUAGCAAAAACACAGGUCUAUGCGAAACCGUAAGGUAAAGUAUAUGGGCUGACGCCUGCCCGGUGCUGGAAGGUUAAGAGGAGAGGUUAGCGCAAGCGAAGCUUUGAAUUGAAGCCCCAGUAAACGGCGGCCGUAACUAUAACGGUCCUAAGGUAGCGAAAUUCCUUGUCGGGUAAGUUCCGACCCGCACGAAAGGCGUAAUGAUUUGAGCGCUGUCUCAACAAUGCACCCGGUGAAAUUGAAGUACCAGUGAAGAUGCUGGUUACCCGCGCCAGGACGGAAAGACCCCAUGGAGCUUUACUCCAGCUUGAUACUGGGAUUCGGUAAUGUAUGCACAGGAUAGGUGGGAGACGAAGAAGAUAGAACUUCGGUUUUAUCAGAGUCGCUGUUGGGAUACCACCCUUAUGUUAUUGGAUUUCUAACCUUAGGCCGUAAGCCGGUCAAGGGACAAUGUCAGGUGGGGAGUUUGACUGGGGCGGUCGCCUCCGAAAGUGUAUCGGAGGCGCUCAAAGGUUCCCUCAGAAUGGUUGGAAACCAUUCGAAGAGUGCAAAGGCAGAAGGGAGCUUGACUGCGACACCGACGGGUGGAGCAGGUACGAAAGUAGGACUUAGUGAUCCGGUGGCAUAAAGUGGGAUUGCCAUCGCUCAACGGAUAAAAGCUACCCUGGGGAUAACAGGCUUAUCACUCCCAAGAGUUCACAUCGACGGAGUGGUUUGGCACCUCGAUGUCGGCUCAUCGCAUCCUGGGGCUGUAGCAGGUCCCAAGGGUUGGGCUGUUCGCCCAUUAAAGCGGUACGCGAGCUGGGUU